AUCUCUCUCUCACUUCACCUUUUCACGUUUUCCUUUUCUUAUUAAUCACCUCUCUCUUCAUCUUCACCUCCCUCUCUCUGUCAUCUCUCUCUUCAUCUUCACCUCCCGCAACCCUAGCCGCCACCACAGUCCCUUCUCCCUUCCAUACAACCCCUUCUCCAUUCUCGCAUAUUUUGCACGAAAAAUAGAGAAACCGUGAUUUGGUGUCGUUGUUGUAUGAAUCGAAAGUGAGUCGGUGAUGAUUGUUGAAACACAGUGGUUGUGUGAACCGAGAUUGAGCCGGUGAUGAUUGUUGAAACAUCGUUCUUCAUCCGUUCCGAUUUCUUCCCUUUUACAUAUUCAUAUGCGAGUUCUUCCGUGUUACAUUGUUCUUCAGAUAUUUAGGGUUUGUAGGUUACCUAUUUCCUUUUCUUGAAAUUUUGUGAAUUCAAAGAAGAGCUUCACUUAAGAUGCAUAAUAUGUCUUGGAAGAAGAUGCAACUCUCAAGCCAUUCAAAUAAUAUAAGUAUAGUAUAAAAAAGCUCAGGAAAAUUGGGGAUGUUUUAACUAUUGUUGUUGUUACAGUAUACUAUUUUUUAAUCCUUCUUUCGAUAGCCUUAGAUAAUUAAUUUUCAAAUUCUAGUUUUUUCUCUUUCAACUUUUUGUGUUUUGGUUUGUUUUAUUGAACUUUCAAUUUCUAAAGGUGCUGGUUAUAUGACAAUGGUGGUCGCUGGAAAACUAGGGAGACGAGGAAGGAAAGUGUGAAUACCUCGUGACUUUUAUUCUUGCUGCCGCCAACCAUCCAUCAGGGCGUUAUGAUGACCUUAAGGGGAACAAGUUUAGGGAAGCUGGAGAAGUAUUUAACAAGCUAUUGAAUGAUGAGAAUUCACCUUUGAAACCCGAUCUGAAGAUGGUUGUAAGAUUAAGAAUGUAGGAUAAUUACACUGUAGGCUUUUUCAAAGUUAACAAAGCCACUGUGAACAUGUUCACAGGGUAGAGCCUCAUGUUACAUAUGGGUAUGCAAAAUGUAAAACUAACAAAAUUUAAUGCUUAGGG